rnacentral:lncRNA from 1 species
UAGUGAUCAAAAGAUCUCAAAAUUGACAAUUUUAAUGGCCGAUGUGGUGUGUUUGUGAGUUUAACGGUGUAAAACAAUUCAAAUGCGAUGAAAAUUUUAUAGAAAAUUUUUUUCACUAUUUAGAGUAAAAUCAGUAUAUCUGAUCUUGAAUUUAAAUCUUUUGUCAUCAUUUUUUAUGAGAUUUUUAUUUUCAGCCGUUCAAUUUUAGACUACUUGUUUGAUAGGUAAAUGAUAUCGAAAAAUUAUGAAAUUUAGUUUCUAAAUACUUUCAAUAGUGUAGAUCAACUCUAACGGAGCCGAUCGUCGAUUUGGAAGCCGCAUCAUCGAAAACAACUUGGUAGCACGAAGCGCUCUGUGCUACCGAUAGUAUAGUAGCCUAGCUCUCUCUCUCUA